rnacentral:rRNA from 1 species
AGUGAACGCUGGCGGUAGGCCUAACACAUGCAAGUCGAACGGCAGCACAGGAGAGCUUGCUCUCUAGGUGGCGAGUGGCGGACGGGUGAGGAAUACAUCGGAAUCUGCCCAGUCGUGGGGGAUAACGUAGGGAAACUUACGCUAAUACCGCAUACGACCUUCGGGUGAAAGAGGGGGAUCGCAAGACCUCUCGCGGUUGGAUGAGCCGAUGUCGGAUUAGCUAGUUAGCGGGGUAAUGGCCCACCAAGGCGACGAUCCGUAGCUGGUCUGAGAGGAUGAUCAGCCACACUGGAACUGAGACACGGUCCAGACUCCUACGGGAGGCAGCAGUGGGGAAUAUUGGACAAUGGGCGCAAGCCUGAUCCAGCCAUACCGCGUGGGUGAAGAAGGCCUUCGGGUUGUAAAGCCCUUUUGUUGGGAAAGAAAUCUUUCAGGCUAAUACCCUGGGAGGAUGACGGUACCCAAAGAAUAAGCACCGGCUAACUUCGUG